UGGGGAAUAUUGCACAAUGGAGGGAACUCUGAUGCAGCGACGCCGCGUGAACGAAGAAGGCUUUCGAGUCGUAAAGUUCUUUUAUAUGGGAAGAUAAUGACGGUACCAUAAGAAAAAGCCCCGGCUAACUACGUGCCAGCAGCCGCGGUAAUACGUAGGGGGCUAGCGUUGUCCGGAAUCACUGGGCGAAAAGGGUUCGCAGGCGGAAAUGCAAGUCAGGUGUAAAAGGCAGUAGCUUAACUACUGUAAGCAUUUGAAACUGCAGAUCUUGAGAAGAGUAGAGGUAAGUGGAAUUUUUAGUGUAGCGGUGAAAUGCGUAGAUAUUAAAAAGAAUACCGGUGGCGAAGGCGACUUACUGGGCUCAUUCUGACGCUGAGGAACGAAAGCGUGGGUAGCAAACAGG
rnacentral:rRNA from 1 species